GAUAGCUCCCAUAAGUGACUUCACUCCGUGAGUGGAGGAGUUCUUCCUGUCACAGAAAGGACUGGACACGCUCUCGCUAAUCAUUCACUGUCACUCUCAGAGAAUAAUUCACUCAGCUAUCAGACUGAUUGAUAACGCCACAGCCACAAAGAAAAAGCUGGAUUCUUUACAGGUUGUCCAAUUAAUUUCCUUCUUUCAUCAUGCACUGUGUGUCUGUUUCCUCUACUGUUCCUUUGUUUCAUUUGUAUCCCAUUUUCUUCGCCUUUCUCCUCCCGCUGCCACUACAAACAACCUCUUCUCCAAUUUCCCCUCAUGUCUUCCUCGUGUGCUAUUCAUUUUCACCCAAUCAGCCUCUAAUUGGCUGCUUCACACCAAGAGGAUGGCAGAGAUAGAGCAGUCGUUUGUACAUGUACAUCAGCAGACACGUGUUAUGGUGGAGAGUAAACAGGAACAUGGCUUGUAAAGCUUGCUAAAUGCUAAUGUGUGCAUAAUCCAUUUUAAUGAUUUUUUUCCCUCCCUGUCCUUUUUUUUUUUUUUGCUGUGACAUUUAUGAAAAACAAAACAUGUUUGCUCCUAAUAGCGCAGCACAAAUUCUAGUUACCCAUAUGAUUUACUAUAUUUCUCUAGUUUUUGCCUCCUAGCACUGGCUUCCCCUAGAUGCAAUUAAAUUGUUACCUAUGAAAUAGUAGACUAGCGUAUUUUAACCUUUUAACACAGAAGGCUGAUGUCUUUGUUUCAAAGAAAAAGUUAUCAAGACACUAGAGCCCUCUUCUUUCUCUACUCUAAACCCUUAGAUAGUCGAGGGGACAUUUUCAUGCUAUUUUGGCUGCGCUGACUAAACAUAGCUCAUAUUUGCCAGAAGAUAUCUAUUUUUCUUUUUUUUUUACGAUCGUUGUCUCAGGUUCCUUUUAGCUUAAAAUGGCCAAGCUGCGUGAAAACGACCACAUUUUAUUCACAGGCCAAAAUGUCUCAUUGAAAAUAAUUGAAAAUGCACAUUUUUAACCCCCAUUUAUCUCGACAUCUACUACUAGUACUGCAUUCCUUUAUGUUAAGAUUUUAUUUUGGACUGCUCACCUUCAAUUUUUAAGUUUUAAUUUUUAAAUUGGUUCACCAAGUGGCGCUACUUUUUUUUUUUUUUACCAUUUACAGACCAGCUGGAGUCCAACUCUGACUCAUCUGAUGGUGAGACUGGAAAGGAGAUAGUUGAAGCAGUGACUGGAUGGGUGUCUCCAUCUCCAUGUUUUGGUCAUCCCCAUAUUUUGGUUUUCCACAAAGACUGCAAUGCUCCCCUACAUCCCAGCAGCCAGAGGUUUGAUCCCAGGACCUACACACUAUGCCACCAGCUAUGCACUGCUGCUAAUUGAUGAAAUCCUGCAGGAAACUGUGGCCAUGACAAGCCUGCAUGGGAAACACUCAGUGGCCUAUGUGGAAACAGAGGAACUGCAGUUUUGUGUAGAGAUGCUCAUUUUGUGUUUACAGGUCAAAAAAAAAUAAGCAAUUCAGAUCUGCAGGGUGUUGCUGCAGGCUCCUCUCAUCAGCAAAUGUAAGGGCAGUGUGACUUUUGCAUGGACAGUCUGUCCAUUUGCGGCCUCUGUCCCACCUCAGCUGGUGUCCCUUAUUCUUUAAAGGGUUAAAAUCCAAAAAAUAUGAUUAAAUAUAAUUAGUCACUGAUAUUUAUAUUUCAGUCUGAAGUAGUUUUAAAAGAUUGAGUCAUUUAAACUGAAAAAAAUAUUACUCUAUAAUAGCAGUUUUUGGGAAGCUGUCGUUUUUUUGUCCUUAGGAUGUUGAGUGAGACUUUCUUUUAAGUUGACAUUACAGAAAAAAUGAAAAUCUAUUUGUUUUUUCUGUUUUGUUGUUCUCUCCAGGUGCUCCGGCUUCCACCCACAGUUCGAAGACAUGCAGUUAGUGGGGUUAGAUUAAUUGGUAACUCGAAAUUGCCCAUAGGUGUGAAUGUGAGUGCGAAUGGUUGUCUGUCUCUAUGUGUUAGCCCUGCGACAGACUGGCGAUCUGUCUAGAGUGUACCCUGCCUUAAGAAAGCUGGGAUAGGCUCCAGGUGGAAGAGAAUGGAUAUUUCAGGCUGAAGUAGUUUUAAAAGACUGAGUCAUUUAAAGUAGAAAAAAAUAUUACUAUAUAAUAUUUUUACAUUUUGUGGCAUUUUGUGGCCUUACCAUAAAAAGAGUCUUUUUUUUUGGUUUUUGUUUGUUUGUUUGUUUGUUUUUUAAAGAGGGUGAUCUAUGAGUUAAAGAAGCACCCCACUUGGGAUGCUCAAAUCCAGACUUCAAACCUUAUUUAUUCUUGUAGUCUUAGAGGUCUACAUAACAGUUUCAUGUAUAUAUAUGAGAGGAAAGUACAUGCAUUGCACUGUAGUUCUUAAUGAGCUCCCUAAUGAUGCCUAAUGAGUGGUUAUCAUCCUUAACAUUAUCGCAUUGCUGUGCAGUACUGUGUGUUUAUGAACUGCUCAUCUCUAUUUGGAUGCAGUCUCUCUCCCCACUCCCACUGAUGGUUGUUGAGUAUACAUGCAUGAGAACACAUUACAGUAAGAACAUGUAGGCAACAUGCGUCUUAAAUGCUCUUCAAGAC
ensembl:lncRNA